rnacentral:rRNA from 1 species
AACGAACGCUGGCGGCAGGCCUAACACAUGCAAGUCGAACGCUCCGCAAGGCGAGUGGCAGACGGGUGAGUAACACGUGGGAAUCUUCCUAUCGGUACGGAAUAGCUCAGGGAAACUUGAGGUAAUACCGCAUACGCCCUUCGGGGGAAAGAUUUAUCGCCGAUAGAUGAGCCCGCGUCUGAUUAGCUAGUUGGUGGGGUAAUGGGCUACCAAGGCGACGAUCAGUAGCUGGUCUGAGAGGAUGAGCAGCCACACUGGGACUGAGACACGGCCCAGACUCCUACGGGAGGCAGCAGUGGGGAAUAUUGGACAAGGGGCGCAAGCCUGAUCCAGCCAUGCCGCGUGAGUGACGAAGGUCUUCGGAUUGUAAAGCUCUUUUGCCAGGGACGAUAAUGACGGUACCUGGAGAAUAAGCCCCGGCUAACGUCGUGCCAGCAGCCGCGGUAAAAC